rnacentral:rRNA from 1 species
GGCGUUAAGUUGCAGGGUAUAGACCCGAAACCCGGUGAUCUAGCCAUGGGCAGGUUGAAGGUUGGGUAACACUAACUGGAGGACCGAACCGACUAAUGUUGAAAAAUUAGCGGAUGACCUGUGGCUGGGGGUGAAAGGCCAAUCAAACCGGGAGAUACCUGGUUCUCCCCGAAAGCUAUUUAGGUAGCGCCUCGUGAAUUCAUCUCCGGGGGUAGAGCACUGUUUCGGCUAGGGGGCCAUCCCGGCUUACCAACCCGAUGCAAACUGCGAAUACCGGAGAAUGUUAUCACGGGAGACACACGGCGGGUGCUAACGUCCGUCGUGAAGAGGGAAACAACCCAGACCGCCAGCUAAGGUCCCAAAGUCAUGGUUAAGUGGGAAACGAUGUGGGAAGGCCCAGACAGCCAGGAUGUUGGCUUAGAAGCAGCCAUCAUUUAAAGAAAGCGUAAUAGCUCACUGGUCGAGUCGGCCUGCGCGGAAGAUGUAACGGGGCUAAACCAUGCACCGAAGCUGCGGCAGCGACGCUGAUGCGUUGUUGGGUAGGGGAGCGUUCUGUAAGCCUGCGAAGGUGGCCUGUGAGGGUUGCUGGAGGUAUCAGAAGUGCGAAUGCUGACAUAAGUAACGAUAAAGCGGGUGAAAAGCCCGCUCGCCGGAAGACCAAGGGUUCCUGUCCAACGUUAAUCGGGGCAGGGUGAGUCGACCCCUAAGGCGAGGCCGAAAGGCGUAGUCGAUGGGAAACGGGUUAAUAUUCCCGUACUUGGUGUUACUGCGAAGGGGGGACGGAGAAGGCUAUGUUGGCCGGGCGACGGUU